UACGAAGGGGGCUAGCGUUGCUCGGAAUCACUGGGCGUAAAGCGCACGUAGGCGGACUCUUAAGUCGGUGGUGAAAUCCUGGAGCUCAACUCCAGAACUGCCUCCGAUACUGCGAGUCUCCGAGUCCGGGAGAGGUGAGUGGAACUGCGAGUGUAGAGGUGAAAUUCGUAGAUAUUCGGAGGAACACCAGUGGCGAAGGCGGCUCACUGGCUCGGUACUGACGCUGAGGUGCGAAAGCGUGGGGAGCAAACAGG
rnacentral:rRNA from 1 species